rnacentral:rRNA from 1 species
GUAGUUAGCCGUGGCUUCCUCCUUAGGUACCGUCAUUAUCGUCCCUAAAGACAGAGCUUUACAAUCCGAAAACCUUCUUCCUCCACGCGGCGUCGCUGCAUCAGGGUUUCCCCCAUUGUGCAAUAUCCCCCACUGCUGCCUCCCGUAGGAGUCUGGGCCGUGUCUCAGUUCCAGUGUGGCCGAUCAGCCUCUCAGCUCGGCUACCCAUCGUCGGCUUGGUGGGCUGUUAUCUCACCAACUACCUAAUGGGACGCGAACCCCUCUUACAGCGAUAAAUCUUUGACCUCAUCCCGAUGCCGGGUCGUGGUCUCAUGCGGUAUUAGCACCUGUUUCCAAGUGUUAUCCCCCUCUGUAAGGCAGGUUGUUCACGCGUUACUCACCCGUUCGCCACUAGAAUUAUAAAUUCCAUCCGAAAACUUCCUUCAUAAUCCCCGUUCGACUUGCAUGUGUUAGGCACGCCGCCAGCGUUCGUCCUGAGCCAUGAUCAAACUCUGA